rnacentral:rRNA from 1 species
GGAUUGACAUCCUACGAAUCUUUCUGAGAGGAGAGAGUGCCUUCGGGAGCGUAGAGACAGGUGGUGCAUGGCUGUCGUCAGCUCGUGUCGUGAGAUGUUGGGUUAAGUCCCGCAACGAGCGCAACCCUCGUCCUUAGUUGCCAUCAUUAAGUUGGGCACUUUAAGGAGACUGCCGGUGACAAACCGGAGGAAGGUGGGGAUGACGUCAAGUCAUCAUGCCCCUUACAUCCUGGGCUACACACGUACUACAAUGCAACGGACAAAGGGCAGCCAACUAGCGAUAGUGCGCUAAUCCCAUAAACCGUUGCUCAGUUCAGAUUGCAGGCUGCAACUCGCCUGCAUGAAGGCGGAAUCGCUAGUAAUCGCAGGUCAGCAUACUGCGGUGAAUACGUUCCCGG